GUCAGUUUCAUCAUUUUGAAUGCAUGUUGAAUGCAUAUGAAAACAUCAGUAACUUCCCAUUUGAAAUAUGUCGGUUUCACCCUAUUCAUUCAUUCAUGUUGUAACUUCCCAUUUGAAAUAUGUCGGUUUCACCCUAUUCAUUCAUCCAUGUUGUAACUCCCUAUUCAAUGUAUUUAUGAGCAAGCUCCUCCUAUAUUGGUAUAAAUAGAGGAUCACUCUCGGCUAGAAACAACAACAAAAAGAAAACACAACAAAGAAAAAAAAAAGUUCAGUUUCCUCCUCCAUUUCCAGCAGCCCCGAUUUUUUUGGUUUUUUUUUCUUUUCUUUUCUUUGCUAAAGUUCUUUGAGAGAUAGACACAGCUUUUUCGUAGGUCGGUAACGUUGUGCAGCGUGAACCGUCAACCGAUUGUAUCCUGAGAAUCGAACACCGAUUAACACCUCUUGCACUCCGGUGAGGCGGCGAAUUCGAUUUAAGGAAACCGUGUAAACACGGGCCUUCGGUUUUGGUUGAUUUAUUCUGAUUCUCCAAUUUUUCCCUACAAGCUUAAAUCGAAUUCUCAUUUCUGAAAAUUUUGAGAAUCGGUUUUUUUUUCUGUCGUCUUUUUUUUUCACCUCCAGUUGUUUGUUGUUUACUUAAUUUGUCCUUUAGGAAAAAAGGCUGACAAUCUAUCUAUUUAAUUACGUGCAGUAAAUUUAUUAGGUUUAAAUCAGUAAGGUCGAAAGAAAAAAAAAUUGGUUUACAGGAACUUUCUUAGUUCAUGCCUGCGUGAUUUUGGUUCUACAGUUUAUUUUUCUCGAACAGAUAACUUGAUCUCAAAUCUAUAAUUAUUCUAAAUUGUUUGUUGCGUGUUCUAAGGUUAAAUGGCGUCACAUGGAAAUGAUGAUGUGAACAAUGGAAGCAACACUGUUGGGACCGCUGUGAACCCUGUGGAGACCUCGACUGGCAUUCCUCCUGUUGAUGGGACAAUUGGUGGCGGGAUUCCUCUUGUUGGAAUGAACCCCACUUUGCCUACG
rnacentral:lncRNA from 1 species